rnacentral:rRNA from 1 species
ACACGGUCCCAACUCCUACGGGAGGCAGCAGUGGGGAAUAUUGCACAAUGGGCGCAAGCCUGAUGCAGCAACGCCGCGUGAACGAUGAAGGCCUUUGGGCCGUAAAGUUCUGUCCUUGGGGAAGAUAAUGACGGUACCCUUGGAGGAAGCCCCGGCUAAUUACGUGCCAGCAGCCGCGGUAAUACGUAAGGGGCAAGCGUUAUCCGGAAUUAUUGGGCGUAAAGCGUACGUAGGUGGUUUUUUAAGUCCAUGGUUUAAGACAAUGGCUCAACCAUUGUAUGCCGUGGAAACUGGAAAGCUUGAGUGCAGGAGGGGAAAGCGGAAUUCCUAGUGUAGCGGUGAAAUGCGUAGAUAUUAGGAGGAACACCGGUGGCGAAGGCGGCUUUCUGGACUGCAACUGACACUGAGGUACGAAAGCGUGGGGAGCAAACAGGAUUAGAUACCCUGGUAGUCCACGCCAUAAACGAUGAGCACUAGAUGUUGGGACAGCGAUGU